UUCUGCUCUCCAGUUCAGAAAACACAACCUCAACAACUGCCCCUUCCUCCUCUACCCAUGACUUUUCCUUCCAUUUCCUGUCUCAUUUAUGAACCCAAGACAGAAGCUCAGAUAUUUAUCUGCCCACUUAUACUUUCAUCAGAGGUCAAAACUGUCCCAUUCCCAAUCCUGAUCUUUGUCUCCAAUAAUCCAAGGCCAAUGAUCCAAUUCAGGAUUUUCUGCUGCUGUAAGAUAAACUUUAAGUAUUGUAAACUUUAAUAAAUAAAUAAAUGUAACUUGGGCUAGCAAGAUGGCUCAGUGGGUAAUAGCAUUUGUCUUUCAAACCUAGGGAUGUAAGUUUAAUCCUCAGAACACCUAUAAAAGCAGAAGAGAAAUGACUCACAAAAUUGUCCUUUGACCUUCACAUGUGAGCACAGGUACCCGCAUGCAAAAUGGGGUACAGAUCCAAACCUAGAAUUCUCAACACAGGAAUCUCUAACAGUUGAGGAGCAAUUAAAGAAAUGUUCAAUGUCCUUAAACCAUCAGGGAAACGCAAAUCUUCUCUGACACCGGUUAGAAUAGCCAAGAUAAAAAAAACUCAAGCCACAGAACAAGCUAGAAAGGGUGUAGAGCAAAGAGGACACUCCUCCACUGCUGGUGGGAAUCCAAAUUUAUACAGCCACUCUGGAAAUCAAUGUGGUGGCUUCUCAGAAAACUCGGAAUAAUUCUACCUCAAGACCAAGCUAUACCACCCUUGGCACCUACCCACCAUACCACAAAGACACUUGCUCCACUGUGUUCAUAGCAGCUUUAUUCAUAAUAACCAGAAACUAGAAACAACCUAGAUGUCCCUCAACUGAAGAAUGGGUUUAAAAAAUUGGGUCAUUCAUACAACGGAAUACUACUCAGCAAUAAAAAAACAAAAAACAAAAAACAAAAAACAAAAAACAAAAAAAAACAAAAAACAAAAAAACAAGGACAUCAUGAAAUUUGCAGGCAAAUGGAUAAACCUGAAAAAUAACAUCCUGAGUGAGUUAACCCAGACCGAAAGGAACAUGCAUUGUACAUGCACAUUUAUAAGUGGAGAUUAACCAUAAAGUACAGGCUAACCAUGCUUCAAUCCACAGAACCAAAGAAGCUAAGUAACAAAGACAGCCCAUGGAGGUCACUGGAAUCCCUCUGUGACAUCAUAGACAUGGAGGGUGGAACUGGAUGGGGGAAGAUUAUAGGGAGGGGAGUAGGGGGGGUCAAGUGGGGGGAAGUCGGAAGGAGAGAGUACAGGGAGAGAGAACUGGAAGGGGGAGGGCAUGUCCAAGGCAAUCUAGAAACCUAGAACAAUAGAAACUCCCAAGAAUCUAUGAGGUAGACUAUAACUGAGACUCCUAGCAAUGAGAGAUUUGGAACCUAAACUAGCCAUCUCCUGUAACCAGAAAAUUCUUCCAGUGGAGGGACUGAGACUCUAACCCAGCCAUAAAACCUUAGACCCAUAUUUUUUCCUGACUACAAGAUGUGCAGGGGUUUAGAUGGAGCAGAAAUUGAGGGAAUAGUCAACCAAUGACUGGCUUAACUCGAGACCUAGGCCAUGAGAAAGGGUUCACCCCUGCCACUAUUAAUGAUAUUCUGCUAUACCUAUUGACACCCACCUGAGAGGCUUCACUCAGAAACAAAUCGAAACAGAUGCAGAGAUCCACAGUCAAAGAUUAGGCAGAACCUGGGGAAUCCUACUGAAGAGAGGAAGGAAGGAUUGAAGGAGUUGGAAAGAUCAAGGACACGACAAGAAAACGUACAGAAUCAACUAACCUGUGCCCACAGAGGCUUGUUACCAAACAAAGACCAUGCAUGGGAUGGACCUAGGGGCCCUCUGCACAUGUGUAAGAGUUGUGCAGCUCAGUCUUCAUGUAGGACUCCUAACAGAAAGAGCAAGGCUGUCUCUGUCUCUGUUGCCUGCCUUCGUAUCACUGUCCCCUAACUGGGCUGCCUUGCUUAGGCACAAUAAGAGAAGAUGUACCUAAUUUUACAGCAACUUGACAUACCAAGGGGAGUGGAUUUCCAAGGGAAGCCUCCCCUUUUCUGAGGAGAAAGAGAGAACAAGAUGUAGAACUCUCAGCUCCUCCUACUCCAUGCCUGCCUGGAUGCUGCCACGCUCCUGCCUUGAUGACCAGGAACUGAAUCUCUGAAUUUUGUCCUAAUAAGAGUUUGCCUUGGUCAUGGCCUCUGCUCACAGCAGUGAAACCCUAACUGAGACACAGUCAUGAAAAAGUAACUCAUAGAAAAGCAAAGGAAGGGCUGGAGAGAUGACUCAGCUGUUAAGAACACUGACUGCUCCUGAAGAGGUUCUGAGUUCAAUUCCCAGCACCCACAUAGUGGCUCACAACCACUUGUAAUGGGAACCAGUGCCCUCUUCUGGUGUGUCUGAGGACAGUUACAGAGUAUUCAUAUACAGAAAUCUUUUUUUAAAAACACCAUCAAUCUAUUUUUAAAAAAGAAAAGAAAAGGAAAUGAAAAUGACUGAGCUUAGAAAGUUGCCAAUAUCCCUGGCACUACAGAAGGCUGCAUUAUGAGAUGCAGUGGGUAACAUUGUAACCGGUGCACUGAUAACACUGUAACCAAUGCACUGAGUAACCAAUCGGCUUUGCUAGCCCUGAGGGAAGACGAAACACUGAGCACACUAAUGAGAGCGUAGUUGGAGAUUCUCAGAGAUCUCUUGUUUUAGUUGGCGAGAAAGACCUUUCUAGAAAGUGAUUAUUAAAUGUAUAUGUCAAAAUCCUUAAGAAUAGAUCAUGUUUUUCAUCUACAAAUAAUUCCACUUAAAGAUAUCUGUUCUACGAAAGUCAUCAGCUGUAUUUUUUAAAAGGUUAUGACUGUAGAUGUUUGUCACAUUGUUAGUUACAGCAAAAAGACAGUCCCUAAAAUUACAUUCAAAGUAAUGUCAAUGACCCCUGGGGAAAAAAAUCAAUGGUUUUUCACUGUUUUUUCAAACUAGCACACAAAACUUUAUUUUUAUAUCUAUGCAUAUCAUACAUGGAAUUAUGUAUAAAAAGCAUAAAACAAAUAUGCCAAAAUAUUAUUGUGAGUUGUGGUUAUGGGAUAAUUACUGUUUACCUUUAAAUAUUUUUUCUGAGUUUUCCGCAACAUAUGCAUUAUUUUUCCAACCAUGAGAGAAAAAUAGCAGAAUUAGCUUUAGCAGUGAGGGGUUUUUCAUUAUAGUAAGAGGAAAACAUCAAUUAAAAUGAGAUUAUACAUAAAACUUAGGUGCAAGAUAUUAAAUUCUUCGCUAUUUUCUUCAAUAUCUACAUUUGCAUAUUUACGGAGUAUCUUCUGUCUUGAAACUAUUCUCAUCUCAGUAUGCAGUAAAGAAUAAACAAAUUUUGUGCUGAAUAAAGAAAAUAAAAUCUUUGGUC